rnacentral:tRNA from 1 species
GCCGAUGUGGUGAAAUUGGUAGACACGCUACCUUGAGGGGGUAGUGGGAGUAAUCCCAUGGCGGUUCGAGUCCGCCCAUCGGCACCA